AAGAAACAAUUACAAAAAUGUAAAAAGAUCGAGCAACCUGCUUUCACUUAUAUUGCAAUGAACGUCAGAUAUUUUUUUUCUUUAUCUGGUUCUUCUGAAUAAAUUGGACAAAGUUAUCUAAAUAGCAUAAAGAACAAAUAAUAUUAGCUGCUGGUUCGACGCCAACAGCCAAACAAGAAGAAGCACGUGAACUAUGCACGUGAGUUAGGGUGCAUGCGUCAAAGCUCUUCCCGCGUUAUUCAACUUAACCAUGUGCCCUGCUGUGCAGAAUACACGUCUAGAUUAGUUGCAAGGGAGGAUUUGCUUAAGUUCAACUGUCGGGCGACGUCAGUGGAGAACACCUUGGAGCAAAUCCUCCAUACAGUUUUCUUCAUGCUCGGCCCGCCACUGAUGGAUAAUCUGUUCACCUUCAACAGCCUAUCUAGGUCUGCAGUAGAUGCUAGAGGAAAGACACCACCCUCUUCCUCUUCAGCCAUCUGCAUUUGGGGUACAACACGCCUGUUCCCCACUAGAGACUGGACCAGUGAAGUCAGAUGGUUGAUCUUCAUGUCCAUUUUCUCUAGUGUUUCCAGAAUUGUCCUUUCUACAGCUGCAAUACAUAAGAUAAUUUAACUUGUACUCAAGACUGGAUUUUCCUGUCUCCCACCAGAAGUACCUUGUUUUCUGGUUUGCUAAAGAGCCUCACUGGAGCUCAAAAUGGAGUUGCCAGGCCUUCAGGCUGACAACAGAAGGUCUGAACCCCUUUGAUUGGCCAAGGACUACCAGGUGGAUGAGCACUCCAGCCGUCACCAUGAUGGUCUGCCUGAGAGACACCCACUGGAGCUGAGAAAGAUGGACUUGGGCCUGCCAUCUUGUCUUUUUGGCUUGUUGUUUCUGAUUGCACUUUAAUCUCAAGAGGGAAAUCCCGAUCAAAUCCCAGAAGGUGGAUGAGCACUCCAGCUGUCGCUAUGAUGGUCUGCCUGAGAGAUGCCCACUGGAGCUGAGAAAGAUGGAGUGGGUUGAUCAACACACCAGCCUUCUCCGUCAUGGUCUGCCUGAGACAUACGCAGUGGAGCUGAGAAAGGUGGAGUAGAUGAACGAAGGUCUUGUUGGUUUGGAAUGACUGUACCAGUCACACUGAAGCUCCUAUUCAAUAACUUAUACCAUGGUCUGUCUGGAUAUUCUGAUUGGCUGGCAGGUUCUGAGUUUAUGUCAGAAGUGUAGCUGGCCUUCUUCCAGUUGUUGGCUACAUUCUGAAAAGAUGCUGGAAAAAGAAAUGCAGGAUUCUUGCUCUGUGUCGGGUCCACCCUUUUUCUGGCUGUGGUGCCUCCAUUGUCCGAACACUCUUCAGCAACCUGUCAAGGUCUUUAUAUGGUGGCCACCAGGACUUGGCAGCUGGUCCAGUCGUCCCUUCUCCCUCAAACUCCACGAUUAGAAAUCAACUGUUGUUGAGAGGUCAUCCACUAAAUGAAUGCCAAGUGUAGAGGAUGGCAGUGGAUAGUCAAACAAGGAUUCCUGGUGGUUGAAGCCUACAAGUCAGAGGACCCAUCUUCAGCCACAAGAGAAGAAGCUGUCUCAUGAUGGUGCAUGUAGUCGAGGGGAAAACCAAAGACCAUGUUUAGGGAUGUUUCUUCAAGAGGUGAUGGACCGUGAUGAUGAUCAGCAUCUGUCUUAUUUCUGAAGCUCUCAUUAGUUCUUAAAGGCAUGUCAGUUCUUGGAAAUGUCAUUCUGUUUUCUAGGUACAAACCAUCCUGUGUGCAUUUUUCACAUCCGUGAUAACCUGUGUGACCUUUUAAAAUUUUUCAGGAAUGCACGGGCAGGUGCAUCACAGACCAUCGAAGAGAGUAUUAAAUUGAACAUCACUCCAUCGAAUUCAAAUCCUUUAGCUAAUUCAUUUACUUCAGAGAUGAAUUCUUGAAGUGUCCCUAGGAUGGGCCAGAACUGUGAUGCUGAGCUCUUAUAAAGUGGCAAACCAUCAAUGCUGACCUGAAGCUCCGGCGUGUGAAUGUUGUGCAGAAUGUCAACAUUCUGAUGUAGCACCUCUGCAAUUGAAUUCAGCACUCCGAAAUGCAAGGCAUUCGAUUGGAUGGUAGGUGCUAAUGUCGCGCUGCAAGAACAACAUGGCACGGGUUCAAAGCCUUAUUCAACUGAGAAAAUUGAUCAGCGUCAUGGUACAAGCGAAGUCUGAAUGGUUUGUUUCCCUGUUUCUUCUGCCUUGGCUGCACCAGCUGUGGAAACCAGACCUGGUGAGGACCCUCUCCUCCAUCCUCAACUAUUGAACCUCUUAUAUCACUCGGAUGAGGACAGACCAGCCUGUGAUCUCCUAAGACACCCAGAUUCAGCCCUGGUCACGAUCUGUCCCACACCUGUGUCUCCUCACAGUCCAUCACCAGUGUCUGCACCCUGCAUACUGCCAAUAAUAUGUUUUUUUUGUUCUGGAGAGAGAUGCCAUUCACAACAUAAUCUCUACACAAUAUCAAACUCAAAUAAUUUAGUCUUGCCUAACAGUUUCCCUGAUUUGUUACUGUUCACAAUGUAGCAUGGUCUUGCCUACCUUUGUCCAUUCAGUUAUUAAAAUGUUUUUAAUAUUUGUAUUGAA